rfam:Schistosoma haematobium scaffold596_6, whole genome shotgun sequence.
GCACUGCUGAGGAGUCCCAUACUAGGACGAAACGGGCGUCUAGUGC